rnacentral:rRNA from 1 species
UGGGGAAUAUUGCACAAUGGGCGCAAGCCUGAUGCAGCCAUGCCGCGUGUGUGAAGAAGGCCUUCGGGUUGUAAAGCACUUUCAGCGAGGAGGAAGGUGGUGAGCUUAAUACGCUCAUCAAUUGACGUUACUCGCAGAAGAAGCACCGGCUAACUCCGUGCCAGCAGCCGCGGUAAUACGGAGGGUGCAAGCGUUAAUCGGAAUUACUGGGCGUAAAGCGCACGCAGGCGGUUUGUUAAGUCAGAUGUGAAAUCCCCGGGCUCAACCUGGGAACUGCAUUUGAAACUGGCAAGCUAGAGUCUCGUAGAGGGGGGUAGAAUUCCAGGUGUAGCGGUGAAAUGCGUAGAGAUCUGGAGGAAUACCGGUGGCGAAGGCGGCCCCCUGGACGAAGACUGACGCUCAGGUGCGAAAGCGUGGGGCAGCAAACAGGAUUAGAUACCCUGGUAGUCCAGCGCUGUAAACGAUGUCGAUUUGGAGGUUGUGCCCCUUGAGGCGUGGCUUCCGGAGCUAACGCGUUAAAGUCGACCGCCUGGGGGAGUACGGCGCAAGGUUAAAACUCAAAUGAAUUG